rnacentral:rRNA from 1 species
GACGAACGCUGGCGGCGUGCUUAACACAUGCAAGUCGAACGGUAAGGCCCUUCGGGGUACACGAGUGGCGAACGGGUGGGCAACACGUGGGUGAUCUGCCCUGCACUUCGGGAUAAGCCUGGCUAACUGGGUCUAAUACCGGCUAGGACCCCUGGCUUCCUGCUUGGGGGUGGAAAGCUUUUGCGGUGGGGGAUGGCCCAGCGGCCUAUGAGCUUGUUGGUGGGGGAAUGGCCGACCAAGGGGAGGGCGGGUAGCCGGCCUGAGAGGGUGACCGGGCACACUGGGACUGAGAUACGGGCCGGACUCCUACGGGAGGCAGCAAUGGGGAAUAUUGCACAAUGGGCGCAAGCCUGAUGCAGCGACGCCGCGUGAGGGAUGACGGCCUUCGGGUCGUAAACCUCUUUCAGUAGGGACGAAGCGCAAGUGACGGUACCUACAGAAGAAGGACCGGCCAACUACGUGCCAGCAGCCGCAGUAA